UACGUAGGGCGCAAGCGUUGUCCGGAAUUAUUGGGCGUAAAGAGCUCGUAGGCGGCCUGUUGCGUCCGCUGUGAAAUCCCGGGGCUCAACCCCGGGCCUGCAGUGGAUACGGGCUGGCUAGAGGCAGGCAGGGGAGAACGGAAUUCCUGGUGUAGCGGUGAAAUGCGCAGAUAUCAGGAGGAACACCAAUGGCGAAGGCAGCUCACUGGGACGGUAUUGACGCUGAGACGCGAAAGCGUGGGGAGCAAACAGG
rnacentral:rRNA from 1 species